AGAAACCAACAGGGAUUGCCUCAGUAACGGCGAGUGAAGCGGCAAAAGCUCAAAUUUGAAAUCCCCCCGGGGAGUUGUAAUUUGAAGAUUGCGUCUUGGAGGCGACCGUGUCUAUGUUCCUUGGAACAGGACGUCACAGAGGGUGAGAAUCCCGUGCGGCACGGCCCCCGGCUCCUUAUAAGGCGCUCUCGACGAGUCGAGUUGUUUGGGAAUGCAGCUCAAAGUGGGUGGUAAAUUCCAUCUAAAGCUAAAUACAGGCGAGAGACCGAUAGCGAACAAGUACAGUGAUGGAAAGAUGAAAAGCACUUUGAAAAGAGAGUGAAACAGCACGUGAAAUUGUUGAAAGGGAAGGGCAUGCCGUCAGAUUGUCAGUGUGGGUAAGAAGCGGGGUACAAAGACUGUGGAACGUGGCCCUCGGGUGUUAUAGCCGCAGUUCAUGCCCCGUCUCUUUCCGAGGCCUGCUUUGAGGACACCGACGUAAUGACGGUACGCCAGCCAUCUUGAACAACCGGACCAA
rnacentral:rRNA from 1 species